rnacentral:rRNA from 1 species
CCUACGGGUGGCAGCAGUGAGGAAUAUUGGUCAAUGGGCGAGAGCCUGAACCAGCCAAGUAGCGUGAAGGAUGACUGCCCUACGGGUUGUAAACUUCUUUUAUAAAGGAAUAAAGUGAGGCACGUGUGCCUUUUUGUAUGUACUUUAUGAAUAAGGAUCGGCUAACUCCGUGCCAGCAGCCGCGGUAAUACGGAGGAUCCGAGCGUUAUCCGGAUUUAUUGGGUUUAAAGGGAGCGUAGAUGGGUUGUUAAGUCAGCGGUAAAAGCCCGGGGCUCAACCCAGGCGAGCCGUUGAAACUGGUUGUCUUGAGAUGUCGAGAGGUAGGCGGAAUGCGUGGUGUAGCGGUGAAAUGCUUAGAUAUCACGCAGAACUCCGAUUGCGAAGGCAGCAUACCGGCGGCGAUCUGACGCUGAGGCACGAAAGCGUGGGGAUCGAACAGGAUUAGAUACCCGAGUAGUC